rnacentral:rRNA from 1 species
UGGGGAAUAUUGCACAAUGGAGGGAACUCUGAUGCAGCGACGCUGCGUGAGUGAUGAAGGACUUCGUUUCGUAAAACUCUGUUCUAUGGGAAGAAAAGGACUGUACCAUAGGAGAAAGCUCCGGCUAAAUACGUGCCAGCAGCCGCGGUAAUACGUAUGGAGCGAGCGUUGUCCGGAAUUAUUGGGCGUAAAGGGUGCGCAGGCGGCUUUACAAGUUGGAUGUGAAAUAUUGUGGCUCAACCACAAACGUGCAUCCAAAACUGCAAAGCUUGAGUUAAGGAGAGGGAAGUGGAAUUCCUGGUGAGGCGGUGGAAAGCGUAGAUAUCAGGAGGAAUACCGGUGGCGAAGGCGACUUACUGGACUUAUACUGACGCUCAGGCACGAAAGGGUGGGGAGCAAACAGG